rnacentral:rRNA from 1 species
UCUUGUGUAAAUUCCAAAAGCUAAGCAGGAUCAGGCCUGGUUAGUAACUGGAUAAGAGAUUGUGUGGGAAUCCCAGAAAUCUCAAAGU